AUGAAAUAAUGCGAAAAAAAAAAAGUGAUUAUCAUUCACGUCAUAGAGAUAAAUAAAAAAAUUUCAGUUUCAUUUGAUUUUUUCACGUUUUCAUGCCAAACAAACACAUCAUAAAAUACAGAAAGAAGUAAUCCAUGGAGAUAUAACAAAAAUUAUCAGAGUCAGGGAUGAGAUGACUGUGUAUAAAGUAAUUGACGAGUAAUAGAGAUUGAUGAUAGAAGAAGAUAGAAAGGCUUCUAGGGUUUAGCGAUGCUAGUGUACCAACUUGGCAGUUUCAGCGCCCGUACGUAGGAUCACAAUGGUGGAGAGAGAUGGAUGGAUAAUCCUUUGUACAGGAACCAAGUACUG
rnacentral:misc_RNA from 1 species